rnacentral:rRNA from 1 species
AUUGAACGCUGGCGGCAGGCCUAACACAUGCAAGUCGAUCGGAGCGGCGGACGGGUGAGUAAUGCCUAGGACUCUGCCUGGUAGUGAGGGAUAACGUCCGCUACCGGGCGCUCAUACCGCAUACUCUCAGCUGAGCCUAGGUCGGAUUAGCUAGUUGGUGGGGUACAGGCCUACAAAGGCGACGAUCCGUAACUGGUCUGAGAGGAUGACCAGUCACACUGGAACUGAGACACGGUCCAGACUCCUACGGGAGGCAGCAGUGGGGAAUAUUGGACAAUGGGCGAAAGCCUGAGACAGCCAUGCCGCGUGUGUGAAGAAGGUCUUCGGAUUGUAAAGCACUUUAAGCUGGGAGGCGUUACCAACAGAAGAAGCACCGGCUAACUCCGUGCCAGCAGCCGCGGUAAUAC